GCUAGGUAGGCCUUAGGGCCGUGGGGAAGGUAAGCUGGAGCUGGGAAAACCCACGGCUAACGUACGGGCCCGAGGUGCCCCAGGCUGGUAUAAGUGAUGACUUGACUUUUUUCCCCAUCAUAUCGACAAUGCUGAUGUCUUUGAACACUUGCCAGUUGGUUCUGAUAUACCAGUCUCAAACGGCCCGGCCCUGUUUAUUUCUGAUCGUGGGAAGAUGGUGAUCCAUGCCCUUCCAUUGUUCGCAGGUUAGCGCGGCCGGAGCGUGCAGGAUGGCUGUUGAAGUGGGACGCCGCUGGGCCACCGAAGGCACCCGGUGCGGACUUUUCCAGCCUUCGGUCUCCUGACCUCUGGGGUAAGCAUUUGUCUACUGGCCUGUUGAGGGGACUUUUAGUUCGCUAGAAAAAAUUAAAAAUUGGAAGGUUUAAUAAUUGAGCAUCUCUUAGGUAAUAGGUACUUAAAGUGUUUUGUAUGCUUUAUUGCAGUUCUCACGACCAGGCUUAUUGGUGAAACUGAGGUUCAGGAGAACUAAUGGCUCGAUGUGAAAUGAUCUUUUAAUUGUAAAAGGUGUUCAGUGCCCCUUAAACCACGAUUUGGGCUUCCACUCAUUUGUGUUUCUGGGCAAAUAGAUUUCUUAUGCCUUUAAACUUCCAAGUGGGUGGAUAACGUGUGGACUUUCCAGCUCUCUUAUGAGAACUACUUUCUGUUGAGUUAGCCACUCGAACUAAUUCCCAACUGCAUAACUUUCUCACUUCCUUGAGUCCAGGGUUGAGACACGAAAGGGCAGAAUUUCUUGGGAGCACGUGGUUAUCUCUUAUCUUCCUAAUCUUUAUGAAAGUCACUUUCCCCAGCUGCACUGGCCUCUCAUAGGGGUCCAGAGGUAUUUGUUGUGCCAGCAACAGGACACAGCACAGAAAUGUUCAAAUGUUGAAUAACUUUGCAAACGUGGACGCAGACCAGCUAGAUCUUACUCUUCGUUCAAGGCACUUUCAGUGUCUAUAUUGAAAUAAAAUACCUGCCUUUAGAGGCAGCUGUCAAAGCUGUAAGCUUCCUGCUGGCAUAUAUGAUGACUGAACUUUUUUCCCCGACAGAUCGACCAUGUUGAUCUAACUUCUCUAAGCCAGUUUCUGUCUGAUAUGCCAGUUUGAGCAGCUCCUCUGCCCUGUCUCCCUUGGGGAUGUAGCUGGCAGGAGCUGAUCUUUCUGUGUUUUCAUCUUAGGUUUGCUGCUGGCGGGAAUCUGAAUGGACCAGGAGGAGUCCUGGUGUGGAAAAGGUUUGGUAAGUGAUGCCCACAUUUGUUUCUGUCACCCGAGUAAGAUUUGGGAGAGGAGGGACAGUAACUGUUUCAUAUUGGUUGUUAACACAGGGUUGCUUCUUAGUUUCUGGCCAUUGCAGCUGAUGACAGAACUUUUUUCCCCAUCAGAUCGACCAUGUUGAUCUCUUAACUACUAGCCAGUUUUUUGUCUGAUGCAUUGGCCCCAAGGAUGAAAUCCUUGUUUUUUAAGUAGGUAUUGGCUUGUUCUCCCCACAGCCUGACACCACCCCCCCUCAAAGGAAUUAUCUGUUUGCUUUGUACAGGUCGGGAGGCACGUGUCACAGGGCAAGAAGUGGGUUGAUGACACAGCCUGGUGUCUUCCCCCGGCUUGUCUGUCUUCUGUAGUAGUAAGUUUCUCAACCAUGGAUUUUGAAUACAAGGCCUUUUGAAAAACACCCUGUGUGUUACUGAGAGGUGGAACAGACUGCACCAGAAUCCUAGGGUGAUUGUGUACAUAACUUCAGCAAUAUCCAGAGUUGAAAAACCUGUGCUUUUUUUUUUUUUAAGUCUUUGUGAUCUUUCUAGCUUUGUUUUCCGAUUUGGAAAAAGAAAAUAAAAUCUUUUAAAUCAGUGUUCUUGUAUUUGGUCUAACUGUUGGUGAAAAACCUUGAACAGGGGUAUCAAGUCGGAACUGGUUAUCUACAAGUUUCAUUUGAGUAAUUCUUGAUCCCAGGUUUUAUUGAAAGGAAAUUCCCUAUCAGGCAGUUGGUUCCUAACAACACGUGUUGGUGCAGUAGAUUAAUUCUCCUGCUCCUGAAUCUUGGCCAAAUUUUUACCCCCUCCUAAGAAAGGCAGAAAAGUUGGAGCGUUGGUUCAAUCACUGGCUGGGUUUGAAUUGUGGGUCCCCAUAUCAGCUGUGCGGCCUUGGGCACAUUAUCUCACCCUUGAACUUCAGCUUCUUUGGCAGAAUGGAGAUAAUGACAGUGAGGAUUAAAGGUGUAUUGUAUAAAAUGCUUACCCUAGUUUCUGGUACAGCCAAGUAGAUUUGGCUGUUAAAACCGAAACCCAUUGCUGACUCAGCAGCCUUAUGUAUAUGGCAGAGUAGAACUACCCCAUCGGGUUUCCAAGGCUGUAAAGAUUGCCACAUCUUUGUCCAGUGGAGCGGCUGGUGGGUUUGAACCCCCUUAGCCCUGUGCCAUCAGGGCACCUAUUGCGUAUUCCAGGGUAUCGGCGAGGAAAUGUGCCUUGCCAAAUUAGGAUAUAUGAAUUUAGUUACAGUGGUUGUAGGGGCGUGGUCAGUGCCUGGAAUCCCCAAGGGGUUAGUAUAAUAACCCAAGGCUAGCAGCAGCAAUUCUCUUACCACCCUGAGGCUCCAAGUGAGGGGAGGGAGCCUGUCAGGCAGCUGUGACCUAGAGGGAUGGAGCUGGGGAGGAAAUGCUCAUUACCUGUCAACCUCCAGCCAACAUGUAUGGCUGAAUUAAUAGGAAGCUAGAGAACUUGAGACUCUAGUGCAUUAGCCAGGGACACCCCUGUGGUCAAACCUUGAGGGGCACUGGAGAGGGACUUUUAUAGGGUUUAGGGUUACCCUUGAUGACUCUAAAGAGGAAUUAAGGACCAACUUGGGUUUGGAUACUGUCAGUGAGGAGGAGGCGGCGGUAGUGUUUUGGAGGUGGGACCAUAGAAAUGGCCUGGGAAUGUUAUUGGUUAGAAAGCAGCCAUCACUUAAAAAAAGAAAACAGUGCUAUCGACUUAGGAGGACUCAAAAACCCAAACCCAUUGCCAUUCAGUCGAUUCCAACUCAGAGGUUAUAUAGGACAAAGUAGAACUGCCCUACAGGAUUCCCACGGAGUUCCUGGUGGGUUCUAACUGAUGACCUUUAUGGUUAGCAGCCGUAGCUCUUAACCACUACCCCACCAGCAUUUCCUCACUUAGGAGAAGGGUUGUUAAAUUAUUUUUCCAGGCCUCCUAUGCCUCCUUAGAAUGUUUAUAUUGUUCAGAGCAUCCUGAUUUGAUGACCUAAACCUGUUGCCAUCAAGUCGGUUCUGACUCAUAGUGACCCAGUAGGACAGAGUAGAACUGCCCUAUAGGGUUUCCAAGGCUGUAAUCUCAUGAAGUUCAAACCACUGACCUUUUGGUUAGCAGCCAAGUGCUUAACCACUGUGCCACAGGGCUCCUGGUCUGAUGGUCCAACCAACCAAACUGUUGCCAUUGAGUCAAUUCCAACUCAUAACAACCCUAUAGGACAGUGUAGAAGUGCCCCAUAGGAUUUCCAAGGAGCAACUCCAACUGCCAAUCUUCUGGUUCGCAGCCAAUCACUGUGCCACCAGGGCCCCAGUCUGAUGGUCAGCAGGCUAAUUUGCUUUCUGCGUAUUUAUCAUCUGUCUCUCCCCAUUAGCCUAUGACUCCAUGCAGGUAGCAACUCUGACUUCUCUGUUCUGCGGUUGCCUCUGCAGCAUGUGGCAUAGUGCAUGGCACAUGGCAGGCCACUCAAGACACUGUGGCGGGACUGCUGAAGCACUUGACACACACACUUUUGCUACUUGUCACAGACCUGUGAGGGGAGAACUAGCAGGAUCCUUAGUCUGUUUGUACAAGUAAGGAAACUGAGGCUUGGAGAGCUGUGGUUCCCAGCUCCAUACAAGAGACAGAAUCAGGUCAUAAACCCUGAUCUGUUUGACAAACCAAUGCCCUUCCUUUUUGCUCUCCAACUUGCUGACUCCUACUCCAGCCAGGAAUGUCUUCUAUUCAUUACAUCCGCUGCAGUUUUUAGAGCUAUACCUCGCACAUAGCAGGUGUUGACUAAAGCAAAAAGACAACUGAUUCCUUGAACAUCACGCACAAAUUGUCAGCCUGAAGACACAUCUUGGGGCCCACAAAAUGUUUCUUAAAGAGUGUAUUCAUACAACAAUUCAUUCCGUAAGUAUUAUCUACUAUGUGCCAAAAGAGCCCUGGUGGCACAGUGGUUAAGUGCUUGGCUGUUAACCAAAAGGUCGGUGGUUCGAACUCACCAGACUCUCCAUGGGAGAAAGAUGUGGCUGUCUGCUUGCAUAAAGAUUAAAAAAUCGAAACCAAACCUAUUGCAGUUGAGUCAAUUCUGACUCAUAGUCGACCCUGUAGAACAGGAUAGAAUUACCCCAUAGGGUUUCCAAAGCUGUAAUUUUUAUGGAAGCAGACUGCCACAUCUUUCUUUUGCAGAGCAGCAGGUGGGUUCAAACUCCUGACCUUUCAGUUAGCAGCCAAGAACGUAACCACUGAACCACCAGGGCUCUUCCUCCAUAAAGAUUACAGACUUGGAAAACUUACCGGGCAGUUCUACUCUGUCCUACAGGGUUACUCUGAGUAGAAAUCGACAGCCAUGGGUUUUGGUUUUUCACUAUGGGCCUUGGCACUAGGGAUACACUAGUGAACAAAACAGGAAAAUGUUUGCCUGCUUGGGAGCUGACAUUGCUGGCAGAGGGAGAAACAGAAUAAGGUCCCUGUAGCAGUAAUAAUAGUAACAAUAGCUAACAUUUGUCAAACCUUUAAAAAAAACUAAAAACCAAACCCGUUGCCGUGGAGCCUAUUCCGACUCAUAGCAACCGUGUAGGACAUAAAGUUUCCAAGAAGCGCCUGGUAAAUUCAAACUGCUGAUUUUUGGUUAGCAGCCGUGGCACUUAACCCCUUCGCCACCAGGGUUUUCUUAUUGAGCCCUUAAACCCAGUGCUGGCGAGUCGAUUCUGACUCAGCGACCCUAAAGGACAGAGUAGAACUGCCCCAUUGAGCCCUUGGUACGUGUUAAUCAUAGCUCUUUACAUAUAAUUAACCAUCUAUUCUUCCAACAACUCUAAGAGGGAUGUAAUAUUUUUAACCCAAUUUGCUCAGAGAAGCCAGUCUCAGAAAGUUACAUAUUGUAUGAUUCCAUUUAUUUCACAUUUUUUUAAAAGAAAACUAUAGUGGUUGCCAGGGGCUAGUGGUGGAGUGUGUGUAUGAGGGUAAAUUGAGGGAACAAGGACUCAGAUGUGAAGUGAGUUGCCUAAGGUCACACAGCUGAUAAAUGGCAGAGCCAGAACUCAAACCCUGUCAGACUGACUUGAGUUUGUAACCCUCAGCUUACUUGCAGCAUGUAGAGGUCUGGUGACGUAGUGGCUGAGAGCUUGGCUGCUAACCAAAAGGUAGGCAGUUCAAAUCCACCAGCUGCCAUAAGUUGGAAU